GACGAACCGUGCAAACGUUGUUCGGAAUCACUGGGCUUAAAGGGCGCGUAGGCGGGCAAGCAAGUCGAAGGUGAAAUCCCACGGCUCAACCGUGGAAGUGCCCCCGAUACUGCUUGUCUUGAGGGAGAUAGGGGCGUGCGGAACUUCCGGUGGAGCGGUGAAAUGCGUAGAUAUCGGAAGGAACACCGGUGGCGAAAGCGGCGCGCUGAAUCUCUUCUGACGCUGAGGCGCGAAAGCCAGGGGAGCAAACGGG
rnacentral:rRNA from 1 species